AGUGAACGCUGGCGGUAGGCCUAACACAUGCAAGUCGAACGGCAGCACAGUAAGAGCUUGCUCUUACGGGUGGCGAGUGGCGGACGGGUGAGGAAUACAUCGGAAUCUACUUUUUCGUGGGGGAUAACGUAGGGAAACUUACGCUAAUACCGCAUACGACCUACGGGUGAAAGCAGGGGAUCUUCGGACCUUGCGCGAUUGAAUGAGCCGAUGUCGGAUUAGCUAGUUGGCGGGGUAAAGGCCCACCAAGGCGACGAUCCGUAGCUGGUCUGAGAGGAUGAUCAGCCACACUGGAACUGAGACACGGUCCAGACUCCUACGGGGGGCAGCAGUGGGGAAUAUUGGACAAUGGGCGCAAGCCUGAUCCAGCCAUACCGCGUGGGUGAAGAAGGCCUUCGGGUUGUAAAGCCCUUUUGUUGGGGAAGAAAAGCAGCAGGUUAAUACCCCGCUGUUCUGACGGUACCCAAAGAAUAAGCACCGGCUAACUUCGUG
rnacentral:rRNA from 1 species